AAUCAUCACAGUGUCCUCAAACCGCGACCUUUGAACAAGACGAUCUUCGAGAGCAUCGCUCCUAAGCUGGACUGCUGAACGAGGUUUGCCGAGAGGGGCGUUGGUUUCUCAACAGAAUGCAUGCUCGCUGCUGCGUCUCCCACCUCCCUGUAUGUGUGCGUGUUCAUGAGGCAAGGUGAUGAGGGCAUGAUCUGCUCUCUUUUCUUUCUGCGGGCUCUUCACGUACGCGAUCGCCUCUUCUGCUGACAAGCUGUUCUUUCUUUCAAAGAGUCCAUUCUGUCAUUCAACAAUGAGUCGAGCCGUGCGCGAUACGGACUGUCACUGGCCCCAUCGCGUGGUGCAGCGCAGCUGUAGACACGUGGUACAGCAAUGCCGACUCAGCCACCUGAGCACGGCCCCUGGCUCGAACGUUACCCACCCGCUGCGCAGGUCGCCUCGCAGCCGCUCACAGUAUGCCGGCCGCCACGUGCUGCAUCUCCCUCGCGGUGGCACUCAGGCUCCCCACCAGUAGGCUGUGUGUGGGCCGGGUGAGAUGCGUUCGAGUCGCGUCGACACCCUGCUCAUGGUGUGGAUUCGUACAAGCGUGUUCGCUGCCGCAGGUCGCUCCGACGCAGUGCCAUCCAGGAUCUGACUGCCGGCAUCAGUAGCAAUGCAUCGCACUGACUUCGCCACGUCGUAGGUGCUUGACCCCAUCAGCGUCGGAGGUGGCUCGGCAUUGGCAGGGGAUAGGAGUGGCUGCUUGACCUCUCCACACAGAGCGGGUGUACUGGACCCUCAGAUGCCACACUGAGGUGUCCCCCUUCAUGAGGAGCUGAUGAAAAACACAAAAAAGAUGAAGGUGGGGGAGGGGAAAGGCAGAGGAGGCGCGUCGGAGAGGGUGACAUGGACUGAAGUCGCCGUAUGCUCCAGUGCUUUCCUAGAGCCCCCCACUUCCCAAACUUUUCCUUCCUCGUCUCUCCCAGAUUCUCCAAACCUCGCCCGCCCUUCUUCAUGUUUCCCUCUCCCUUCUCCUCUUUCGUGCUCAUUUUUUUUUUCUCCUUGCGCGCGUUUCUCACUCAUCAAUCACCACCACGCGCCACUCUUGCUCUUACGUCUCCACCCCGUCGUCCGACACCACCCUACUCGCUUUGUUUGCCAG
rnacentral:misc_RNA from 1 species